ensembl:snRNA U1 U1 spliceosomal RNA
AUACUUACCUGGCAGGGGAGAUACCAUGAUCACGAAGGUGGUUUCCCCAGGGCGAGGCUUAUCCAUUGCACUCCGGGAUGUGCUGACCCCUGCGAUUUCCCCAAAUGUGGGAAACUCGACUGCAUAAUUUGUGGUAGUGGGGGACUGCGUUCGCGCUCUCCCCUG